UACGUAGGCAGCGAGCGUUGUUCGGAGUUACUGGGCGUAAAGCGUGCGUAGGCGGUGUCCUAAGUUUGGUGUGAAAUCUCCCGGCUCAACUGGGAGGGUGCGCCGAAUACUGAAUGACUUGGAGUGCGGGAGAGGAAAGUGGAAUUCCUGGUGUAGCGGUGAAAUGCGCAGAUAUCAGGAGGAACACCAAUUGCGAAGGCAGCUCGCUGGGACGUUACUGACGCU
rnacentral:rRNA from 1 species